UGACCAGUAGCUUAGUGGUUAAAGCAAUCGACCUAUAAUCGAUAGAGCGAUGGUUCAAAUCCAUCUUGGUCAA
rnacentral:tRNA from 1 species